UAUAGCUUAUUUGAGCUCUUUCUAGAUUCUAUGGAUGGUGGUGCAUGGACUUUAUUAGUUGGUGGAGCGAUUUAUCUGGUUGAUUCCGAUAUCAAACGAGAGCUCGGCCUGCUAACUAGCUAUGCAAUGGUUCCCCUUUGCAACCAGCUUCUUAGAGGAACUAUGGUUGUUUAUGUAAUUUUUAAACCUGUGAAGUAAAGAAAUGCAUAUAGAUUCUUA
rnacentral:ncRNA from 1 species